AUGGCUAUUAAGACCCUAAGCUGCUAUUGUCUUUCAGAGCUCUCUGACCCAGGCAUUCCUGCCAUACUGCCAAGAAAAUACCACCUAGACAUGUAAGUGCCCUCUCUGAUUCCCCCUCUCCCCUGAAGUUUCUGUGCCCUCUUCCACUUUUGGAUGGUGGUCCCACCAUAGCCUCUGGACAGUAUCAUACUAUGAGGAACUUUCCAACAUGUAAUCUUGUUAAAGUGUUGCCCAACUAAACUAUGUAUGUGUUACUGUCACCCCAUGGUUAUAUAUUUUCCUUGAUCAGCUCCCAUAUACCUUAAACUACUUACGCAUAAGUGCUCAGAUGGUCCCUGGCCCCUUGUGCCUUGACAUGUAUAAAACUGCAGUACUGUGGUCAUCUCCUAGAAACUGUAACAUGGUAUUUCCUGUCAGGGUAUAUCUAAAGGCCUAAGGAUAACUCUAUGGAAUAUGGGAUUGGGGGAGAUUGUUUGAGCUUUGCCACCUCUCUUUCCAGAAUCAACCUAUUAUUUUUACCAUGCGAUACUAGUUGAGUGUCUGUUCAAGCUCACUUUAAAUGACAGAGCUUUAGUCUUCUCAUAAAAAUUGAAUAUCUUCAACUUUGGAAAUCAUUGUAUUUUAUAAUAUCAAGUAGUAAUAGGUUGAGGCUUUUUAAAAUACUGACUGUACUGAUGACAUACUCUCCUUGUCAAAGCUACUUGAAAUAAUGAAAAUGGAUUUUGCUAGAAUAGAAUAGAAUCUUGAUGGAAUAUUUAUAUUUAAUCUCUUACUUGUGCUCCCCUUUAUAUUUCUCAGCAUAUUUUGCAAUAUGGAAUAACAGUGCUCAUUUUACUACCCAUAUCAAUGAACAGUGGAUCAAUAGGAUGGACAUUUGUGACCAUCUUUUGAUCAUAUUCAUAUUUUUCAUUAUUGCUUUUAACUUUGAAUUAAGGCAAUGAUAUAUGUUAUUGGUUGUCAGUUUUACCUUUGAAUGCAGCAAUACUUGAAUUGGCAUUCAGGUGCAACUAUUUUAUUCAUAUGGUACAUUUCUUUGUUAUAUAUAGCUGUUGUUGCAACAGUACUGAUCAAAGCACUGCUUUUACCAUUUAUACACAGUUAACAAAACUGUGUAGAUUUUCAGUGAAAACAGAAUAAAGAUUCCUCAACCCUGGCUCUCACAUAUAUACACACUGUAUCUAUCAAGAGCAGAUCAUAACUUUCUGAUGAUAAUCUGCACAUUAAUGGUUUCAUCCAACUGUAAAGUAAUAAGAGAGUAAAGAUCUUCCUCAGCUGAUGAUGAUGAUGUGUCCUAAUAAACCCAUUGUAGGUAAAAAUUAAGUUCAAAAUGCAUUUAGUACAUCUAACCUACUGAGCAUCAUAUUUUAGCCUCGUCUGCCUUAAAUGUGCUCAGAAAACUUACAUUAGUCUGCAAAUAGGAUAAAGCCAAUUUUAUGAUAAAGUAUUGAAUAUCUUAUGUAAUUCACUGAAUACUGGACUGAAAGUGAAAAACAGAAUGAUUAUAUGGGGAUUGAAUGAUUAUAAAUAUAUCAGUUGUCUACUGUUAUGAUACUGAAAGCAUCACAAUUCCUGAUUUUAAACUAAUUUACAAAACUAUAGUAAACAAAACAGUAUGACACAGGCAUAAAAACAGAUACAUAGACCAAGGGAACAGAAUCAAGAGCCCAGUAAUAAACCCCCUCUUGUAGGGUCAACUAAUAUUUGACAAGGGAGCCAAAAACACUCCAUGGGGAGAAGGUGAUCUCUUAAAUAACUGGCGUCCAGGAAACUGGAUUACAUGCAAAAGAAUGAAAUUGGACCCCUGUAUCACACCAUACACAAAAUUCAGUUCAAAAUGGGUUAAAGACUUAUAUAUAAGAUCCAAAGCUGUAAAACUACUAGAAGGAAACAUAUAGUAAAAACUCUUGUUGGCAACAAUUUUUCGGAUGUGAUUAUAAAAGCACAAGCAACAAAAGCAAAAAUAAACAGAUGGGAAUCCAUCAAACUAAAAAGCUUCUGACCAGCAAAAGAAACAGUCAGCAAAAUGAAAAGGCGAUAUAUAGAAUAGAAAAUAUUUACAUACCAUGUGUCUGAUAAAAGGUAACAUUGAAAAUAUGUAAGAGUCAAUUCAACAGCAAAAAAUAAAAAAAAAUUCAAUAAAAAAUGGGCAUAGAACUUGAAUAGACAUUUUUCCAAAGAACAUAUAUAAAUGACCAACAGGUAUAUGAACAGAUGCUUAACAUCACUAAUCAUCAGAAAAAUGCAAAUCAAAACCAUAAUAAGGUAUAACUUCACACCAAUUAGAAUGGCUGCCAUCAAAAAGACAAGUGAUAGCAAGAGUUGACAAAGUUGUAGAGGGAGUUCCCAUUGUGGCUCAGGGGUUAACAAACCUGACUGGUAUGCAUGAAGACCUUCAGGAGAAGGGUUUGAUCCCUGGCAUCGUUCAGUGUGUUAAGGAUCCAGCAUUGCUGUAAGCUGUGGUGUAGGUUGCAGACCCUGCUUGGAUCCUUCAUUGCUGUGGCUGUGGUGUAGGCCAUCAUGGGUAGCCCUGAUUGGACCCCUAGCCUGGGAACCUCCAUUAUCCAGUAAUUCCACUUCUGAGUAUAACUCCAAAGGAAAGGAAACCACUGUCUUGAAGAGAUAGCCCACAACUCAUGCUCAUUGCAGCGUUAUUCACAGUAGCCUAGAUAAAGAAACCACCUAAGUAUCCUUAGACAGAUGAAUGGAUGAAGAAAAUGUGGAAUAUUUGUACACAUAAUUCAACCAUAGAAAGAAAGAAUCCUCUCUUUUGUGACAACAUGGUCCAUAAAGGCAUUGUGCUAAGUGAAAAAAGUCUGCCACAGAUUGAGAAAUAUUGUAUGUUUUCACUUUUAUGUGAUAUCUAAAAAAGACUUUUAACUCAGAAAUGGAGAGUAGAAUUAUGGAUGGUUGCCAGGGGCUCAAGGUGGGGGAAAUGUGGAGAUGUUGAUCAGAUGUGCAAACUUCUAACUAUAAGAUGAGUAAGUUCUAGGUAUCUCAUGUACAGCACAGUGAGUGUAAUUAAUAAUACUACAUUAUAUUUUUUAAAGUUGUUAAGAGAGUAGAUCUUAAGUGUUGUCAUCACAUACCAAAAAAUGGUAGUUAUAUGAGGGGAUAUAGUUGUUAAUUAACCUUUUGUGGUAAUCAUUUCAAAAUUUGAAUCAAAUCAUGUUGUAUACCUUAAAUUUGCAUGUCUGUCAAUAAUAUUUCAAUAAGGAUGAAGAAAAAUGAGGCUUUUUUAGCGUUUCACAGGAAACAGAGAACUUAUGCAAGAAGGAUUAAAUCCUAAUGCUCAUGUGUUUUCUCAUACAUUUGCCAAGAGGGAUGCUAAUGGACUAGACUGAGUACAAUAGCACUUCAAGAGGCAUCCUGUUUGGCCGAGGAGAAGGAAAAAUAGAGCACAAGUAGGAAUAAAACACUUCCGUUUUCACAGGAAUAUAUUAUGUUUUUCUUUAUGAAAGACCACAAAGAUUUAACUCAACAGAAGAUUUAACAAGGUGACAAUUUUCCUUUUCCAUCAGAAUCCCAUGAGGGCUGAUUUUUGAGAAAGGGAAGGAUAAACAUUCAGAGACAUAGAUAGACAAUGCCUUGUGUGUGGUUUUCACAAGGGAGAGAGUCAUAGAGUCAUGUUUUUGAAAUGCAUAUGUUAGUAUGGUGGAUUGGUAGCAGCAGCUUGACAGCUUUCAGAUGUGGAACAUGAGCCCGGACAGCUGGCUGGCAGCGAGUAGACUGAUAUUUAACAACUGCAAAAAGAAGAAUUAUUUGGAAAAAUGUAGACUUAAGAAUUUUAAGAAGCUUUUUAUAUCAUUCACUGCAGAAGACCUUUACCUCUCUGAAUUAGUCAGAACCGAAUCAUGAAAAUGGAAACCACACUAGUGUUUUUUUUUUUUUUUCUUUUUUGGCCACCCUGUGACAAAUAUGGAGUUCCCGGACCAGGGAUCUGAUCCGAGCCACAAUUGGGAGCCAUGCCUCAGCUGGAUCCUUAACCUGCUGUGCCAGGUGGGAGAUCGAACCUGUGUCCGAGCACUCCCAAGAUACUGCCAAUCCCAUUUCGCCAUAGCAGGAACUCCUAAUUUUUUUUUUUUAAUCAGAGAUAGUUUACUGUGAGAAAUUGGUUUAUUAUCAAUUGGAGGUUAAAUUAUUAGAGUUGUGCCAGUUAAUAUUAGAGGACUGGAACCACGAAAUGGGGAACACAAAAAAACACAGAGAGAGAAACCA
rnacentral:lncRNA from 1 species